rnacentral:rRNA from 1 species
UACGAAGGGGGGCUAGCGUUGCUCGGAAUUACUGGGCGUAAAGGGCGCGUAGGCGGAUACUUAAGUCGGGGGUGAAAGCCCGGGGCUCAACCUCGGAAUUGCCUUCGAUACUGGGUAUCUUGAGUUCGGGAGAGGUGAGUGGAAUGCCGAGUGUAGAGGUGAAAUUCGUAGAUAUUCGGCGGAACACCAGUGGCGAAGGCGACUCACUGGCCCGAUACUGACGCUGAUGCGCGAAAGCGUGGGGAGCAACAGGG